rnacentral:rRNA from 1 species
UAAGGAAUAUUGGACAAUGGGGGCAACCCUGAUCCAGCCAUCCCGCGUGCAGGAUGACGGCCCUACGGGUUGUAAACUGCUUUUGCGAGGGAAGAAACGACGCUAUUCGUAGUGUUUUGACGGUACCUCGAGAAUAAGCACCGGCUAACUCCGUGCCAGCAGCCGCGGUAAUACGGAGGGUGCAAGCGUUAUCCGGAAUCACUGGGUCUAAAGGGUGCGUAGGCGGCAUGGUAAGUCAGAGGUGAAAGGCCGUCGCUUAACGAUGGAAUUGCCUUUGAUACUGUCAUGCUUGAAUCAAGUUAAGGCCGGCGGAAUGUGGCAUGUAGCGGUGAAAUGCAUAGAUAUGCCAUAGAACACCGAUUGCGAAGGCAGCUGGCUGGGCUUAGAUUGACGCUGAGGCACGAAAGCGUGGGGAGCGAACA